ensembl:lncRNA
UCCAGUCAAAGGUCGCUGAACUCUAUAAAACAGUGCUGAUAAGAUUCACUGAGACGCAGCUGCAUCUACACAAACUGGACCGAGCUCAGAAACACAAAGGAAAGAUUACACUACUGAUCUUCUGCUUGGAUGAAAAUCCACCGAGAUGGAGGAGCUUGAGCAGACAGCAGAAAAGAAAGGAGGAAAAAGAAACCGUAGACUUUGUAGAAAAAGAAGAAAGUGUAAAAUCUUCCGUUUGUGUUGCUGUUGCUGUGCCACAGACGAUGAGUUGGAUGAAAGUGAAACGACAACAAAGCCUUUAUUGAAUAAAACUGGUGAAGCUCAGCACCUAGAGCUGAACGUUACAAGCACAGGAAGUGAAACUGAAAAUGCAUCUGUACCAUCUUCCACCAAUAAUAGAGUAGAAGAAAAAGUGGAGAUCACACGUGAAGUCAGAGGAAAGACUGAGCCACAAGACGAAAAUGAAGAUCAGUCAGAGAAAAGAGAAGACACCGCAACAGGAGGAGGAGAAUCUGAAACCUGGACUCCAUCACAACCUUUAAACAUUGAGAAGGGUAACAAUGAAAACUUUACUUCUACAGUAACAUGCAUUGAGGGAAAUAACUAUUUUAUGCUUUGCUCAUUUGCAAAGAAAUAAACAGUCUUACAAAUCCAACAGAUUCAACAGUUCAGAUCCAAAAGUGUCUAAACGUCAUUCAAAAUGAGCGAUAUCAUGUAAAAGCUGUCAGUGUGCACAAUAACUGAGCUGGUUCACUUCUAGACACUGACCUUCUUCCAAAACAUGGUUUAUUAGCAAAUACCCAAAAAUGUCACUUCCCUUUGUCCUGAAAAGUGACCAUGUCCUCAGCACCACCAAUCAGAAGAUGUAAAUCAGAUCAUGUGACAUUUAAACAGGCAAUUUAUCAGUUUGUU